UUCCUACGGGUGGCUGCAGUUAAGAAUCUUGCGCAAUGGGCGAAAGCCUGACGCAGCGACGCCGCGUGGACGAUGAAGGCCUUCGGGUUGUAAAGUCCGGUAAGCAGGGAAGAAUAAGCAAAGGGUAAUAUUCUUUGUGAUGACGGUACCUGCCUAAAGCCCCGGCUAACUACGUGCCAGCAGCCGCGGUAAUACGUAUGGGGCAAGCGUUGUUCGGAAUUAUUGGGCGUAAAGGGCGUCUAGGCGGGGAACUAAGUUAGGUGUGAAAUCCAUGGGCUCAACCCAUGAACUGCACCUAAAACUGGUUCUCUUGAGUUCGGGAGAGGAGAGCGGAAUUCCCGGUGUAGCGGUGAAAUGCGUAGAUAUCGGGAAGAACACCAGUGGCGAAGGCGGCUCUCUGGCUUAGAACUGACGCUGAAGCGCGAAAGCGUGGGGAGCAAACGGGAUUAGAUACCCCGGUAGUC
rnacentral:rRNA from 1 species